rnacentral:misc_RNA from 1 species
CCGAGUUUACAACUCCCAAACCCAUGUGAACCUUACCUACACGUUCCCUCGGCGGCGUUCCCCUCGGGGCUCCCGCCAGAGGACCAAACAAACCCUUUGCAUUUGUUAGUAUUAUUCUGAGUGGCAUAAGCAAUAAAUUA